CCACCGUAGCUCAGUUGGUAGAGCAACGCAUUCGUAAUGCGUGGGUCGGGGGUUCAAAUCCCUCCGGUGGCU
rnacentral:tRNA from 1 species